ACCUGGGUGGCUCAGUUGGUUGAGCUUCUGACUUCGGCUCAGGUCACGAUCUCAUGGUCUGUGGGUUGCAACCCCAGGUC
rnacentral:tRNA from 1 species